rnacentral:rRNA from 1 species
AACGAACGCUGGCGGCAUGCCUAACACAUGCAAGUCGAACGAGACCUUCGGGUCUAGUGGCGCACGGGUGCGUAACGCGUGGGAAGCUGCCCUUAGGUUCGGAAUAACUCCCCGAAAGGGGUGCUAAUACCGGAUAAUGUCUUCGGACCAAAGAUUUAUCGCCUUUGGAUGGGCCCGCGUUGGAUUAGCUGGUUGGUAGGGUAAUAGCCUACCAAGGCGACGAUCCAUAGCUGGUCUGAGAGGAUGAGCAGCCACACUGGGACUGAGACACGGCCCAGACUCCUACGGGAGGCAGCAGUGGGGAAUAUUGGACAAUGGGCGAAAGCCUGAUCCAGCAAUGCCGCGUGAGUGAUGAAGGCCUUAGGGUUGUAAAGCUCUUUUACCCGGGAUGAUAAUGACAGUACCGGGAGAAUAAGCUCCGGCUAACUCCGUG